rnacentral:rRNA from 1 species
UCGUUGACUGUUACCACCUUGUUCUCUGAUCUCUUCAGACCUCUGGAGCUGAGCAAGGCUGGGCCUGGUCAGUACUGAGAUAGGAGAUGUCAAAAGAAAACCAGGCAGCUGCUGGA